rnacentral:rRNA from 1 species
UACGUAGGGGGCAAGCGUUGUCCGGAAUCAUUGGGCGUAAAGAGCGUGUAGGCGGCCCGGUAAGUCCGCCGUGAAAGUCCAGGGCUCAACCCUGGGAUGCCGGUGGAAACUGUCGGGCUCGAGUCCGGAAGAGGCGAGUGGAAUUCCUGGUGUAGCGGUGAAAUGCGCAGAUAUCAGGAGGAACACCAAUAGCGAAGGCAGGUCUCUGGGCCAUAACUGACGCUGAGAAGCGAAAGCAUGGGGAGCGAACAGG